GAUGAAGAACGUAGCGAAAUGCGAUAAGUAAUGUGAAUUGCAGAAUCCAGUGAAUCAUCGAAUCUUUGAACGCACAUUGCGCCCGCCAGCAUUCUGGCGGGCAUGCCUGUUCGAGCGUCAUUUCAACCCUCGACCUCCCUUUGGGGAAGUCGGCGUUGGGGACCGGCAGCACACCGCCGGCCCUGAAAUGGAGUGGCGGCCCGUCCGCGGCGACCUCUGCGUAGUAAUCCAACUCGCACCGGAACCCCGACGCGGCCACGCCGUAAAACACCCAACUUCUGAACGUUGACCUCGAAUCAGGUAGGACUACCCGCUGAACUUAAGCAUAUAAUAAGCGGAGGA
rnacentral:misc_RNA from 1 species